rnacentral:rRNA from 1 species
GACGAACGCUGGCGGUAUGCUUAACACAUGCAAGUCGAACGAGAAGUCAGCUAAUCAAUCCUUCGGGAGAGAAAAGCUGAUGGAAAGUGGCGAACGGGUGAGUAACGCGUGAGCAACCUACCUUAUGGAGGGGGAUAGCCCCGGGAAACUGGGAGUAAUACCCUAUAAGACCACACCAUUGCAUAAUGGAGGGGUCAAACGCAUUAGUGCCAUAAGAUGGGCUCGCGUCUGAUUAGAUAGUUGGUGAGGUAACGGCUCACCAAGUCAACGAUCAGUAGCCGGUCUGAGAGGGCGAACGGCCACAUUGGAACUGAGACACGGUCCAAACUCCUACGGGAGGCAGCAGUGAGGAAUAUUGGUCAAUGGGCGGAAGCCUGAACCAGCCAAGUCGCGUGAAGGAGGACGGCCCUAUGGGUUGUAAACUUCUUUAGCAGCAGAGUAAUAAGGGGGUCGCGACCCCCGAUGCAAGUAUGCUGAGAAUAAGGAUCGGCUAACUCCGUGCCAGCAGCCGCGGUAAUACGGAGGAUCCGAGCGUUAUCCGGAUUUAUUGGGUUUAAAGGGUGCGCAGGCGGCUUGUUAAGUCAGCGGUCAAAUCGCGGGGCUCAACCCCGCUCCGCCGUUGAUACUGGCGAGCUUGAUUGUGGUCGAGGUUGGCGGAAUUCGUCGUGUAGCGGUGAAAUGCAUAGAUAUGACGAAGAACCCCGAUUGCGUAGGCAGCUGACCAGGCCACAAAUGACGCUCAGGCACGAAAGUGCGGGGAUCGAACAGGAUUAGAUACCCUGGUAGUCCGCACAGUAAACGAUGAAUACUUGUUUUGGGCGAUAGAAUGUCCGAGGCAAAGCGAAAGCGAUAAGUAUUCCACCUGGGGAGUACGCCGGCAACGGUGAAACUCAAAGGAAUUGACGGGGGCCCGCACAAGCGGAGGAACAUGUGGUUUAAUUCGAUGCUACGCGAGGAACCUUACCCGGGCUUGAAAGUUAUCGACUGGGGCUGAAAGGCCCCAUCCCUUCGGGGCGAGAAACUAGGUGCUGCAUGGUUGUCGUCAGCUCGUGCCGUGAGGUGUCGGCUUAAGUGCCAUAACGAGCGCAACCCUGUUCUCCAGUUGCCAUCAUCAGGUUGGGGACUCUGGAGACACUGCCAUCGCAAGAUGAGAGGAAGGAUGGGAUGACGUCAAAUCAGCACGGCCCUUACGUCCGGGGCGACACACGUGUUACAAUGGGGAGGACAGCAAGGAACGAAGCGGCGACGCUGAGGGAAUCUCGAAACCUCCUCCCAGUUCGGAUUGGAGUCUGCAACUCGACUCCAUGAAGCUGGAUUCGCUAGUAAUCGCGCAUCAGCCAUGGCGCGGUGAAUACGUUCCCGGGCCU